rnacentral:tRNA from 1 species
GCUGGCGUAGCUCAACUGGCAGAGCAGCGGAUUUGUAAUCCGCAGGUUAAGGGUUCGAGUCCCUUCGCCAGCUCCA